UCCUGGCUCAGGACGAACGCUGGCGGCGUGCCUAAUACAUGCAAGUCGAGCGGACAGAAGGGAGCUUGCUCCCGGAUGUUAGCGGCGGACGGGUGAGUAACACGUGGGUAACCUGCCUGUAAGACUGGGAUAACUCCGGGAAACCGGAGCUAAUACCGGAUAGUUCCUUGAACCGCAUGGUUCAAGGAUGAAAGACGGUUUCGGCUGUCACUUACAGAUGGACCCGCGGCGCAUUAGCUAGUUGGUGGGGUAAUGGCUCACCAAGGCGACGAUGCGUAGCCGACCUGAGAGGGUGAUCGGCCACACUGGGACUGAGACACGGCCCAGACUCCUACGGGAGGCAGCAGUAGGGAAUCUUCCGCAAUGGACGAAAGUCUGACGGAGCAACGCCGCGUGAGUGAUGAAGGUUUUCGGAUCGUAAAGCUCUGUUGUUAGGGAAGAACAAGUUACAGAGAGUAACUGCUCGCACCUUGACG
rnacentral:rRNA from 1 species